rnacentral:lncRNA from 7 species
CAUCAGCUCAGAAUGUAUGUGUAUAUAUAGGGAAUCACAGUUGCUUGUCUCUAUCUCACCAAGAGGAAAAUGUUGUGCUGUGCAGUACUUUGGAUUUCUAUCUAUGGAUUUGUGCAUGGCGCUGAGUGGGAUUCAGACUAUUUUUAUUCCUGAAUCUGAUUGUUGAGGUGGAAUCCAUCACCUACUAAAUAUUAAAUCAGCAGUUUUUUUUUUAAAGAGCAACACUGUCUCUGCUGACUUGAACAUCCUUUUGUGGCCCAGAGGAAAAGAGAAACAAAGGCAAGAUGAGAAAGCUAUCAUCCUUUGCAUUCUUCUUAAUAUUAAUGAUUUCUCUAAAGUUUUCAAACUGCUGAAGACAAAAAGUGAGAUAGAACUUUCACAUGGUUGGGAAAUGACCCAGGUGAAAAAAAAAUAACGAAGCAUUCAUUAUAAAAACAGCAGUGAAACUUCUGGAGUUGAAUUAUGAGUUGGAAGAGAUGGAAAAAAUGAACUGAUUUUUUUUUUGUUUUAGAUUUGUGUCCUGCCUGAUGUGAUGCCUGCAUGUGUUAGAGACAUAAGACUCUAACAUAAAGCUACAUCAAGAUUUGGAAAGUUUUAAGAAAAUCAAAUGACUUCCCCCCCUCCCCCCCCCCCCCCCCCAUUUUGAAUAAACCAUUGGCUUAUUUCUUCAGACUGUGAUAAAAAAUAGGCAUACAGGAAAUGAAUCUGAUCAAUGAGGGAAGAACAAUUGUUUUUACCAGAUCACUUUUCUGAACAUGGCUGCAUUCCAAUCCCUUUCCAAAGACUGAACUCAUAUAUCCACUGUGGAAAAGAAAUGUUCUUAUUCAUGAGUGUGAGGAUUCAUACUUACCAUGCUGCAGUUUUGCCAGAGGACUGGUGAUUGUCAUACAGCAAGCAGUUCAAACCAGGAAUCCCCCUGGGCUGAAUGCUUCAAAACAGCUGGAAGACGGUGUAUAGUUAAGAAGAAAUUUCCUGGACUUUCUUACACCCCCCCCCAUUCUUGUGUAAAUAGUGCAAGUUCAUCCAUCACUGGUAAUCAGAAGACUGUCAGGAUCUACUGACUGCAAAAUUUGGGAGUUCUCAAGAUUACAUUUGAAAUACAGAAAGCUGUGUUUGAGAAACUGCUGGAAAGGGAAAAGAAAAGAGAUGUAUUUCCCAGAAUAAUGGUUCUUGUUUUGCAUCAGAUUUUCCAUUAAUUUUUCUUAAUGAUGUGGACUGUUUGUCUUCCGUGCUGUUGUUCACACUUGGCCUGCUGUCAGUGAAACCUAUAAACAGGGUAAUUGCUGUAAAUGAAGUCUGGAAUACAUAUACAAAUGCAUACGUAAAGAAAAAAUAAUCCUGACGUUAUUAAUCUCAUGAAAAUUAAUGUAACAGAAGUGUUCCUUGAGUCAUAGCAUGUUUGAAUGUAGGGAAUUUAUUUAAACUCGUUUCCAAGGCAGUUUUGAUAGUUUUAAAAAAUAAACAUUUUGUUU